AAGUCGUAACAAGGUAACCGUAGGUGAACCUGCGGUUGGAUCAUUAAAAAUUUUGAAAUUUCUUCUUUUGCCGACGUUCAGCGUCGCAGAGAAGAAAUUUUGUACACCCGCGCACUGAGAACCUGAUCUUCUUGGGGACACGCGCAAGUGUGAGUGAGACGCCGGCAAAAGCCGCUGUCCCACGGAGGCUACAUCUCCGGAUGAAACUCUCCCCCCAAGAAAGAGUUUUCGACAAAGGUCUUUGCGGUCGCCAGACUGCGAGGAGCACUGUCGAAACUCAAAAUUAUUUUCUUGCUCUUUUUAUAUUUGGCUCAUGCAAAUGCCUUUGAUGAUGCAAUGGCAAAAGAAAAAAACAAAACAACUUUUGACAAUGGAUCUCUAGGCUCUC
rnacentral:misc_RNA from 1 species